rnacentral:rRNA from 1 species
UACGGAGGGGGCUAGCGUUGUUCGGAAUUACUGGGCGUAAAGCGUGCGCAGGCGGUUUUGUAAGACAGAUGUGAAAUCCCCGGGCUUAACCUGGGAACUGCAUUUGUGACUGCAAGGCUAGAGUACGGCAGAGGGGGGUAGAAUUCCACGUGUAGCAGUGAAAUGCGUAGAUAUGUGGAGGAAUACCGAUGGCGAAGGCGGCACCCUGGGUCGAUACUGACGCUCAUGCCCGAAAGCGUGGGGAGCAAACAGG